GUGCCAGCAGCCGCGGUAAUACGUAGGUGGCAAGCGUUGUCCGGAAUUAUUGGGCGUAAAGCGCGCGCAGGCGGGAUAACAAGUCUGUUGUAAAAGAUCGGAGCUUAACUCCGUUAUGCGAUGGAAACUGUUAUUCUUGAGUGUCGGAGAGGAAAGUGGAAUUCCCAGUGUAGCGGUGAAAUGCGUAGAGAUUGGGAGGAACACCAGUGGCGAAGGCGGCUUUCUGGACGAUGUCUGACGCUGAGGCGCGAAAGCCAGGGUAGUGAACGGGAUUAGAUACCCCGGUAAUCCUGGCGGUAAACGAUGGGUACUAGGUGUAGGAGGUAUCGACCCCUUCUGUGCCGGAGUUAACGCAAUAAGUACCCCGCCUGGGGAGUACGGCCGCAAGGUUGAA
rnacentral:rRNA from 1 species